UCUUCUAUGAUGAAUUAACAGUAUGACUUUCGUUCUUCUGAAUUUUCUCUGAAGCCAGUUUAUCUGUUCUGAGAUGA